rnacentral:lncRNA from 1 species
UUUCUUUCUUUCUUCUUUCUUCUUUCUCUCUUUCUUUCUUAAUUUCUUCUUUCCUUUCUUCUUUCUUUCUUUUUUUCUUUCUUUCAUAAAUCAUAGUUUCAUUUAAAUAAUAUGGUCUUUGAGAGUUAGACAUGAAUUUGUAUCCAGGAUCCACAUUGGGUAAUAUUAUAAAAGUUUUUUUUUUCUCUCAGUUUGGACUUCAGUUAGCAAAUUCUCUCACACAUAUGCCUUUAUCUGGGUUCAAAGAAUGCUUCAAGAUCUUAUAAGAAAUCUUCUUUUAAAAAGAUAUUACUUUAUACUUAUAGAGAAUGUUUCUUAAAUGCUUCUCAUGUUUGCACUUUAGGAUAAAGCAGGUUGGAAGAAUAUGUACUAUGAGUAUUUUGACCCAGACUAUGUUCCCUUUUAAUAAAUAGCAAUCAGGAUCAUUCUAUGUUUAAUUUCCAUAGUUAAUGUACUAUAAGCCCAGUAAUCCAUAUUUUGAUUUUCUUAGUAUACGUAGUACUCCAAGUGAAAACCUGGAUUUAAAAUUAGGACCUAGUACUGAGUACUGGCAGAGAAACAUUGCUCAACUGUGUGAAACUUUAGUCAUUGUUUGUUAUUGACUUGGUUUCUUCCAAGCUGAGUGUACUCCUUCCAUAACCAUAUUUAAUCAGUUCUAUAGUUUGUCAGUGUCUUCAAAGAUCUCAAGUCAUGAAGCAGUCCCAGUUAUGACUGUCAUUUUUAACAGUAGAAAGAACAUUGUCUUAUUCUGUUUCUGCAGCUUUGCUCAUGCUGUGCCCAAAACUUGGAAUGCCAUUUCAUUCUCCUCUGAUUCAACGUAAAUCCCAUCCAUUCUUCAGGGUAAUAUUCAGUUUCAGCUUCCAUCAUGAAGCCUUUCUUGGUCGUUCCAAAACAUGAUGCUCUUUCCAAACACAUGGAAUUGAUCAUACGCAUAAUAACAUUUACCCCACUCAUUAUGAAAAUCCUUUUAAAGAAAUUUCCCAUGUGUGGAAUACCUACUAUGUGCCAAAUUCUAUAGUGAACACAAAAAUUGAAUGGAGUCUUAAAAUGUAUACAUGGACAGAGCUAAUUAUUUGGGCUUAAAACAAAGCCACAUUAACGGAUUAGCAUGAAUGCUUUAACUGGCUUCUAUCAAUAGGUACACAUUUAUGAGAAGCAUGGGCAGGAUUGUUCUGACAUGAAAGGGAGACAUAUUUGUAAGGGAGCUUGAAAAAAAAGCUGGAGAGGCUUGAAGAUUUCCUAAGGCUAAAGAUUCCAAUAACAAGAAAGAGAAUCUACAGGGGGAAAUAAUUGUAUGUAGAAGAAAAGGUAAGAGAGAUGUCUGAUAUUUGUUCUCAGAAUGAGCUUGUAGGUCACCAUUCUCAUCCUCAUAACCAGAAAAAAUAAAAAAUUAAUUCUUCUUACAUGUACCAGAGAACUGAAGUCCCAGAGAAAGUGCAUUCCAUUAGUUGGACAGAUGGGCAGAUACAGACGACCUUGGCUCAUAAGAACAGAAAUCUAGGAGAAAAACAUCACCAUUAGAGCCAGUUGUGGGAUAGGAAAACAAACUUUAGUUGAUGAAUUGCUAGAGGCUCAGAAUAGACAAGCAUGAGAAUUAAAAACUCCAAUAGAGACAAUUUUAUUUGUAUGAGUUUUAUCCACAGGAUCUGUUUGAGGUUAUGCAGUCAAGAUAGGGGGUGGGGAAUCCCCCCUUUUUUUUCUCAAGGAGUAAGCAAGAGUAACCAUUUGUAAAUAUACUCAAAGCAUUCUACUAAAUGCCUAUAGUUCAGGGAAACUGUUCUGUCAGAUCCUGACUGAGUGAGGUUUUAUGAGUGCCCAGCUGACUUUGGGAAAGAUAAAUGCUCAACUCCAAUCACCUUUAUCCUUCCUGUAUCAUCUAAACAGGGGGGUAGGGGAAAUCAACCUGAGGAGCACUUAUGAAGGGAACACAGGCUUAUGAAAAGAUUGAGACCAUGUUAUAGGACUGCAGCAUACUUCCCACUGCAUCACCAAGAAUUCUAAGCAACAAGAGACAAUUUAGAAAUAUCUAGAGAACUGUGGGGGUAAUUUAUCACCAGUAGACCUUUCUUACAAGAGGUGUUGAAUAAUGUUCUCCAGAAAUAGACAAAAAUAAUGAGAUAAGAAAUGUGGAUAUCUGCGAAGAAAGGAAGACUAUUACAGGGUGAGUAUAUAGAGGUAAAAUUUUUCAUUUUUUAUUUUCUCAAAUAUAUGUUUCUUAUUUAUUCUUCUCUCAUACACUUAAAAAAACAAAAUUUCAUUCUUAUUCUCAUUUGUCUACUAGGUGACAGCAAUAUUAUAAUUGGUGAUUAUCUUAUAGCUAGGCAAAAUGAAUGACAUCAGUAUUAUAAGGAAUGAGAGGAAUAAUUUUGGAAUCUUGUUAUAAGAUGUUUGUAAUACUUGUUAAGUAGUGCAGUGUUAAUUGAAAAUGGAAUCUGAUCAGUUGCGAAUAUAUGUUAUAACAUCAAUUGCAAACAAUAAAAUAUAAGGCUGUAAUUGAUCUAAUGUAAACCCAUGGUUUUAUCUCCAGCAGUAAGGAAAAAGUAUAGCUUACAAACC